ensembl:lncRNA
AUGGGAGCCAGAGCAAGCGUCAGAGUGUGUGAUACGUGGGGAGCACAGCCGCAGUCCCGUGGGUUCGUGCUUUUGUUUAGAGCUUUUCUUUUCUGGAGAUUCAUUGUGCUCAUAAAAAGUACUGGGGGGCCGUGCUCUGUGUGCCCCGCCCCCCACGGCCGUGCUCUGUGUGCUGCCCCUCACGGCCUGUGUGCUGUGUGCCGCCCUCCACGGCCCGUGCUCUGUGCCGCCCUCCACGGCCCGUGCUCUGUGUGCCGCCCUCCACGGCCCGGCCCGUGCUCUGUGUGCCGCCCUCCACGGCCGUGCUCUGUGUGCCGCCCUCCACGGCCGUGCUCUGUGUGCCGCCCUCCACGGCCGUGCUCUGUGUGCCGCCCUCCACGGCCCGUGCUCUGUGUGCCCCCCACGGCCCGUGCUCUGUGUGCCGCCCUCCACGGCCCGUGCUCUGUGUGCCGCCCUCCACGGCCCGUGCUCUGUGUGCCGCCCUCCACGGCCUGUGCUCUGUGUGCCCCCCACGGCCCGUGCUCUGUGUGCCGCCCUCCACAGGCCGUGCUCUGUGCCCCGCCGCCUACGGCCGUGAUCUGUGUGCCGCCCACCACCGCCGUGCUCUGUGUGCCCUCAAUGGUUUUUGCUCUGAGCCGGCCUCCAAGAUGAGAAGACUGAGGGCACCUUUAUCCUUUACUGCGUUUUAAGUUUUUUUUUUUUUUUUUUUUUUGAGAGGCCUCCUGGACCGAGCUCUGUGAAACAAAAGGCUUCCUUUCCGGUGCCCUCCCCUCCCGUGGUGGGUGCUGCCGCGCCCUCUGGAUGAGGCGAAGGGGACCUCUUGGCCCCUCCCCUGACCGCCCGCUGCAGCGCCCUCCGGAGGCGGCGCAGUGUACCUCUUGGCCGCUGCGCGCACGGCCUGAUGCAGCGACCUCUGGAGGCAGCGCAGUGGACCUCUUGUCCGCAGCGCUGGAGCUCCUGUCCGCAGCGCGCACGUCCUGCUGCAGCCCAGACGGGAAACCUUUAGAGACUCAGGCGGCUCCCUCUCUCUGUAAAGAUUUAUUUUGGAGGUCAGAGUUAGAGAUCUUCCAUCUGCUUGUUCACUCGCCAGAUGGCCCCAGGGCUGGGCCAGGCCAAAGCCAGAAAGGAGCUUCAUCUGGGUCUCCAUUGUGGGUGACGGGGGCCCAGACACUUGGGCCAGCCUCGUCUGCCUUCCCAGGACAUUAGCAGGGAGCAGCCAGGCCACGAACCGGUGCCCAUUUGGGAUGCCAUUGCCACGGGCAGCAGCUUAACCGGCUCUGUGGCAGCGCGGGCCCCUAGAGGCUUCGUUCUUGACAGCUGGAUUGGACCAGGUCUGCCUGCUCAGGCUGUGCCUCCCCUGCCCCGUGUGCAGCUCUGUCACCAUUCCUUACGUUGUUGCUGGUUCUGCUGCCAGAGCUCCUUAACAUGGAAGCCACAUGGUGCUGUGCUCCCGCCCCGGGCAGCGUGCGUCAGAGGGAGGGUCUCAGCCGAGGGAGGGCACGGGCUGCCCCUGCAGACUUUGACCUUGCGGCCUCUCUGCCCUCCCCCCCAGUUUAGACUCUGAGGUGACCUUUGCCCUCUGGCCUCGUUCUGGCUUCUGGUUCCGUCCUCACUGUGUCUCUGCCUGCCACGCUGAGCUCCAGCCGGGACCUUGGUGCUUGGUCUCCCCUGGAGUGCCCUUUCCACCUUGCCUGCCUGCCUGCGUGUGAAGGCUCGGCUCAGCUGCUCCGUCCCGAGGGCCAGGACGGCCUGCACCGUGCCCGCCUGUCCCUGCGCGCCCGGGUUCGGUCUGUGCGACCCUCUCAUGGCGGUCCUCGCUGGGUGGUGGGCUCCCGUGAGGAAGGAGCAGCACCUGCCCUCUGUGCUGGCGUCUCCGUGGUUCUCUCUUGCGCAGUGCCCGGGGUUGGCUCGGAUCACUUUGCGGUCUGGUUUCACGGGCUCCUUGUGUA